AUGCAAGUCGAACGCUCACCUUCGGGUGGGAGUGGCAGACGGGUGAGUAACACGUGGGAACGUACCCUUUGGUUCGGGACAACUCUGGGAAACUGGAGCUAAUACCGGAUACGCCCUUUUGGGGAAAGGUUUACUGCCGAAGGAUCGGCCCGCGUCUGAUUAGCUAGUUGGUGGGGUAACGGCCUACCAAGGCGACGAUCAGUAGCUGGUCUGAGAGGAUGAUCAGCCACACUGGGACUGAGACACGGCCCAGACUCCUACGGGAGGCAGCAGUGGGGAAUAUUGGACAAUGGGCGCAAGCCUGAUCCAGCCAUGCCGCGUGAGUGAUGAAGGCCUUAGGGUUGUAAAGCUCUUUUAUCCGGGACGAUAAUGACGGUACCGGAGGAAUAAGCCCCGGCUAACUUCGUGCCAGCAGUCGCGGUAAUACGAAGGGGGCUAGCGUUGCUCGGAAUCACUGGGCGUAAAGGGCGCGUAGGCGGCGUUUUAAGUCGGGGGUGAAAGCCUGUGGCUCAACCACAGAAUGGCCUUCGAUACAGGGACGCUUGAGUCUGGUAGAGGUUGGUGGAACUGCGAGUGUAGAGGUGAAAUUCGUAGAUAUUCGCAAGAACA
rnacentral:rRNA from 1 species